rnacentral:RNase_P_RNA from 1 species
CAGAGUUGGCGGAUGGCCGCCUGCUGCCAAAACAGCAGGAGGAAAGUCCGAGCUCCAUAGGGCAGGGUGCUGGGUAACACCCAGUGGGGGUGACCCCAGGAAAGUGCCACAGAAACCAGACCGCCAGCGGCCCUGUAAAUUUUACAGGGUGCGGGCAAGGGUGAAACGGUGAGGUAAGAGCUCACCCCUUUAGGUGGUGACACCUAAAGUGGGUAAACCCCACCCGGAGCAAGACCAAAUAGGAGGGCGUUCCCUAAAAGGGAUAAGGGUGGCCCGCCCGAAGCCCUCGGGUAGGUCGCUUGAGGCGUCGGGUAACCGGCGUCCCAGAUGAAUGGCCAUCACCUGAAAGAGGGUGACCUCUUUCAGGAAACAGAACUCGGCUUAUGACCAACUCUGACUC